CCACCUCUUUCAGAUCAGACGAUGGAAUAAUAUGAGGAGGUGGUGGUGUAGGAGGUAUGGAAACAAGACCCUCUUGAUUUUUUCUCUCAUAAAAAUCUAAAGCUAAAACCCUAAAACUCCACCUUAGAACUCAUGCCUAAAGAAGAAAUAGUUUUCCUUUUUCUAUCACAUAGAAUGACCCGCCCCCUCUUUGUUUGACACCCCCUC
rnacentral:lncRNA from 1 species